CAAUCUGUAUAGAUUUGCAUUGCUAACAGAGUCAAAAGGGGAAAUCAAUUGCACAGGAAUGUUGUCCAAGCACAAUUUACAGAAGGCCUACAAUGAAUGGCUUCUACCUCUUCGAACCUUAGUGACUGGCAUUGCAGCAGAAAACAAGACUGAGUAUGAUCAAAUAGCGAUCGAGACGGUAUGUGCUCUAAACCCAAUUGAAUUAGUUUUAUAUCGAUGUAUCGAGCUUGUUGAAGAAAGGUUGAAAAAUUUAACCUAAACAAUCCCAUAUCUCUUAAACUAUUAAUGUAAACAAUCCAACUUUUUCUUAGUGAUGAAA